rnacentral:rRNA from 1 species
UUGGAUGUGGACUUGGACUCUGUYGUGUCACAACGACUGGUCUUAAAUGAAUGAGUGCACCCUGCUGUUGCAGCGUCUUCAGUGUGAUAAGCAUCUUCACUGGAACAAAGUUCCCUUUUGGGACACGCAGGCAUUGUAGGCUCUGUGCUGGCAAACCGUCCUUUUUGGACAAAUCUUUGACAAUUUGACCUCAAAUCGGGUGGGACUACCCGCUGAACUUAAGCAUAUCAAUAAGCGGAGGAAAAGAAACUAACAAGGAUUCCCCUAGUAACGGCGAGUGAAGAGGGAAAAGCUCAAAUUUUGAAUCUGGUGUCUUUGGCGCCCGAGUUGUAAUCUAGAGAAGUGUUUUCUGCCUCGGACCACACAUAAAUUCCCUGGAAUGGGGUGUCAUAGAGGGUGAGAAUCCCGUUUGUGGUGUGGACUACCUUGGCUCUGUGAUACACUCUCAACGAGUCGAGUUGUUUGGGAAUGCAGCUCAAAAUGGGUGGUAAAUUCCAUCUAAAGCUAAAUAUUGGCGAGAGACCGAUAGCGAACAAGUACCGUGAGGGAAAGAUGAAAAGCACUUUGGAAAGAGAGUGAAACAGUACGUGAAAUUGUUGAAAGGGAAGCGUUUGAAGUCAGUCGCAUUGGUCGGAACUCAGCCUGGCUUCUGCCUGGUGUAUUUUCUGGCAAAUGGGUCAGUGUCAAUUUUGAUCGAGAGAGAAAGACUUGAGGAAUGUGGCUGUCUUCGGGCAGUGUUAUAGCCUCUUGUUGUAUGUCUCGGUUGGGAUUGAGGAACGCAGCACGCCUUUUGGCCGGGGUUCGCGCCCUCGGUACGUGCUUAGGACACUGGCAUAAUGGCUUUAAGCGAC